CCCGCUGUUCCGUCAGCGGUAGCCUACCGACCGAUGCACCUUAAUGUUGUAUUAAGCGGUCGGGACAAAGUACACUUUCGCAAGACAAGACAGAACCGUGAGGGGAAGUCAAGUACGGUUAGUAUCAUACCGUAGAGUGG
rfam:Human gut metagenome DNA, contig sequence: F1-S_000472.